ACGCUGGCGGCAGGCCUAACACAUGCAAGUCGAGCGGUAGAGAGAAGCUUGCUUCUCUUGAGAGCGGCGGACGGGUGAGUAAUGCCUAGGAAUCUGCCUGGUAGUGGGGGAUAACGUUCGGAAACGGACGCUAAUACCGCAUACGUCCUACGGGAGAAAGCAGGGGACCUUCGGGCCUUGCGCUAUCAGAUGAGCCUAGGUCGGAUUAGCUAGUUGGUGGGGUAAUGGCUCACCAAGGCGACGAUCCGUAACUGGUCUGAGAGGAUGAUCAGUCACACUGGAACUGAGACACGGUCCAGACUCCUACGGGAGGCAGCAGUGGGGAAUAUUGGACAAUGGGCGAAAGCCUGAUCCAGCCAUGCCGCGUGUGUGAAGAAGGUCUUCGGAUUGUAAAGCACUUUAAGUUGGGAGGAAGGGCAGUAAAUUAAUACUUUGCUGUUUUGGCGUUACCGACAGAAUAAGCACCGGCUAACUCUGUGCCAGCAGCCGCGGUAAUACAGAGGGUGCAAGCGUUAAUCGGAAUUACUGGGCGUAAAGCGCGCGUAGGUGGUUCGUUAAGUUGGAUGUGAAAUCCCCGGGCUCAACCUGGGAACUGCAUUCAAAACUGACGAGCUAGAGUAUGGUAGAGGGUGGUGGAAUUUCCUGUGUAGCGGUGAAAUGCGUAGAUAUAGGAAGGAACACCAGUGGCGAAGGCGACCACCUGGACUGAUACUGACACUGAGGUGCGAAAGCGUGGGGAGCAAAC
rnacentral:rRNA from 1 species